rnacentral:rRNA from 1 species
UGGGGAAUAUUGCACAAUGGGGGAAACCCUGAUGCAGCAACGCCGCGUGAAGGAUGAAGGUUUUUCGGAUCGUAAACUUCUAUCAACAGGGACGAAACAAAUGACGGUACCUGAAUAAGAAGCCCCGGCUAACUACGUGCCAGCAGCCGCGGUAAUACGUAGGGGGCAAGCGUUAUCCGGAAUUACUGGGUGUAAAGGGAGCGUAGGCGGCACGUCAAGCCAGAUGUGAAAGCCCGGGGCUUAACCCCGUGGAUUGCAUUUGGAACUGGCGAGCUAGAGUACAGGAGAGGAAAGCGGAAUUCCUAGUGUAGCGGUGAAAUGCGUAGAUAUUAGGAAGAACACCAGUGGCGAAGGCGGCUUUCUGGACUGAAACUGACGCUGAGGCUCGAAAGCGUGGGGAGCAAACAGGAUUAGAUACC